rnacentral:rRNA from 3 species
UACAGAGACUGCAAGCGUUAUUCGGAUUCACUGGGCGUAAAGGGUGCGCAGGCGGCCAAGUGUGUGAGGCGUGAAAGCCCGGGGCUUAACCCCGGAAUUGCACCUCAAACUACAUGGCUAGAGCAUUGGAGAGGGUAGCAGAAUUCAUGGUGUAGCAGUGAAAUGCGUAGAUAUCAUGAGGAAUACCAGAGGCGAAGGCGGCUACCUGGACAAUUGCUGACGCUCAGGCACGAAAGCGUGGGGAGCAAAAGGG